rnacentral:rRNA from 1 species
CAGCCUACGGGGGGCAGCAGUAGGGAAUCUUCCACAAUGGACGAAAGCCUGAUGGAGCAACGCCGCGUGGGUGAAGAAGGUCUUCGGAUCGUAAAACCCUGUUGGUAGAGAAGAAAGAUCGUGAGAGUAACUGUCCUUUUUUUGCCGGUAACUACCCAGAAAGUCACGGCUAACUACGUGCCAGCAGCCGCGGUAAUACGUAGGUUGCAAGCGUUAUCCGGAUUUAUUGGGCGUAAAGCG